GGGUUGCUAGCGCAGUGGUUAGCGCACCCGAUCCCCGUCGAACGGCCAGUCCUCAGUUUCCGGCUGGGGAUUGUCCGUUCGGUGCUCGGGAGGUCGUGGGUUCGAGUCCUACGCGGCUCA